rnacentral:tRNA from 1 species
AGUUCCAUGGUGUAGCAGUUAGCACGUUUGCUUUACAUGCAGAAGGUCCUGGGUUUAGGCCCCAGUGGAGCUA